rnacentral:pre_miRNA from 1 species
UUUUCUCCAUCUUGUGGAUGGGCAUGUUUUCUAGUAGCACGCUUUUUUUAAAGUUUCGUGACUAGAUUACAUGCUCGUCUAUAAAGUUGAGAU